rnacentral:rRNA from 1 species
ACGUAUGGUGCAAGCGUUAUCCGGAUUUACUGGGUGUAAAGGGAGCGUAGACGGAGUGGCAAGUCUGAUGUGAAAACCCGGGGCUCAACCCCGGGACUGCAUUGGAAACUGUCAAUCUAGAGUACCGGAGAGGUAAGCGGAAUUCCUAGUGUAGCGGUGAAAUGCAUAGAUAUUAGGAGGAACACCAGUGGCGAAGGCGGCUUACUGGACGGUAACUGACGUUGAGGCUCGAAAGCGUGGGGAGCAAACAG